rnacentral:rRNA from 1 species
GCAAGUCGAGGGGUAACAGAGAAGCUUGCUUUUGCUGACGACCGGCGCACGGGUGCGUAACGCGUAUACAAUCUACCUUGUACUGGAGAAUAGCCCAGAGAAAUUUGGAUUAAUGCCUCAUAGUAUGUCGACCUCGCAUGAGGAUGAUAUUAAAGGUUACGGCAAAAGAUGAGUAUGCGUUCUAUUAGCUAGAUGGUGUGGUAACGGCACACCAUGGCAACGAUAGAUAGGGGCCCUGAGAGGGGGAUC